rnacentral:lncRNA from 1 species
ACUUUUCAACAUGCAGAGCAGCCACAAUGCAUAUUUCUAAUGGUGCGAAGACUUCAGAUAGAUGGCGAAGCUGCUUAGAGCAGACCCUACAAAUAACCAUAUGACCGAUAUCUUUUAGCAGAGCUAGAUUAGUUUGACAUGUUAAGAGAGACCAGAAAGCAGAAAGAGACCAUAUUUACAUGGCUGAUGUUUCAGGGCAAUGCAUUAUGAUACAGUAGUGAAAAUAAGAAAGCAAUAAACCCUCAGCAUGAAGUCAUUUCAAACCAGCUGUGGUCUCCAAUUUGAUUAGAUUUUGGAACUUACUUAGCCUUAUUCACAAGAGUUAAAUGACUGAUUUAUUGUCACUGAUUAACAGUGAGAGAAAAGGUUGAAUUGAACUGAAUGAAUGAAAAGAUCAGAGUUCUAUUUAACCAGGGCGCCCCUGGUGUAUUGCUAAGAGUCAAUAGCCUCAGACCUCUCCCUGGUGCUGUCCUCAGAGAACGGUGACAUAGUUCAUGGCAACACAACACUGAACUUUUGUCUGACACAGACUUUGGUUGCACAGAGUUGACUGCAGAAUGGAUUUCAUCUCCUCCAUAGUUGCUACCUGCAUAAACUGGGAUGUCAAAAGUCUGCUGCUCUUCAUAACUAUUUUUAUCCUCACUAUGGACUGCAUUAAGAACCGCCGGCCAGCCAGCUUUCCUCCAGGACCUUGGGCUUUUCCUAUCGUGGGUAACAUUUUCUCAGUGGACCACAGCAAGACCCAUGAAAGUAUGAUGCAGGUAAAUGGACCAGUUUAAAAAGAUCUAACCAACAGGUCAACUGAAAGAACCAACUUAAUGUUUCCAGUUAUAUUAAGCAUUUUAUUUUCCUCCUCUCUUAAAUCUGUUCAUAGUUAGCAAAGAAGUAUGGAGGUGUGUACAGCCUGCGAAUGGGCCAGGAGUGGCAUGUAAUCUUAAACGGGUUUGCUGCUCUGAAAGAAGCUCUUGUAAAUCAAGGAGACGGUCUAGCCGAUCGCCCAUCCCUCCCUCUGCUUGAGGACCUGAACCAUGGAUUCGGUGAGAGGAUUUUAAACACACAACAGGCAAAUACUGAGUCAGCUGGGGAAUAAAUGGUUAUGUUAGUGGGUCACUGUAUUGGCUCGCAUAAUUGCCCCUUUUGGGAAGUAACAGAUGAAUAUCUGAAAAACUCGGCUUAUUGAUGAGCAUUUUUGAAAUAUCAUGAGUAAACAUAAAAGGAGAUUAAAUAUAUGAAAAAAAUCUGUGAUAUAAUCAAGCUUGACUCCUUCAUUUGUUUUAGAACUUAAAGGUAAUAAUAUAGUCAAUUCAUAAAAGUUUUUCUGACUGUGAAACUGAGUAAAAUUGGCAACAUUUUUUCCAUUUUAUUGAAAAGAUUCAAUCACAGAUAUACACACAACAGAGACUGAUGAAUUAAAAACAUGUUUAUAGAAAAACUCUGAUUCUCCUCAGUAUUUUGCUGCUUAAUUUUCCCUCAUUCCUAAUGUACUUCCAAUCAGGGGUCAUUUUUACGAAUGGGAACAUGUGGAAACAACAGAGGCGUUUUGCGCUAUCCACCUUAAGACGUUUUGGAUUUGGCAAGAAGUCACUUGAACCAGUCAUCCUGGAUGAAUUCACACAUUUCUCAAAAGUCAUCCAGAGUUAUAAAGGUACAGAUUGAAUGUACAAUUAUACAUUUUGGCAGAAGAACCUGCACAUAAACAAACAAACAAAAAAACUAACUUUCUGUUUUAUUUUGAAGGGAAGCCCUUUGAUCCAUAUCUCACCCUCAACAAUGCUGUCUCCAACAUUAUGUGCUCCCUGGUUUUUGGGCAUCGCUUUAAGUACAGUGAUGAGAAGUUUCAGAGACUGAUGAGCUGCCUUGAUAAAGGACUUCAGUGUCAAGGCACAAUUUGGGCACAGGUAUGCUAUUUUCAAACGAUCCUGACAAAAUACAACUUAAGAUCUAAAAUGCCCAACAAAUGGGGGGGGGGGGGGGUCAAUAUUAAGAAUGCAUUUUUUUUUCUAUACCCUAAAAUCACUUUAUUUUGAAUUGGUUCUGCUCUGCAGUUACACAACUCUUUCCCCCGACUGAUGAGACGUUUACCAGGACCACAUCAAACAUUCCUGGAUAUUUUCAAUGAGGCAAAGGAGUUCAUAAGAGAAGAGAUUAAGAAGCACAAACAAGACUGGGACCCCUCUGACCAAAGAGACUACAUUGACUGCUACCUGAAUGAAAUACAGAUGGUGACUGGCACUAGAUACAUCUUUAAUUUUCACUCAUUAAGUAGUGUUCAUGAAAUGUAAAGAGGUCCAUUUUUGUAGGACACAUGUUUUUAAUUGUCACUUCUGAGGGCAUUUUAUCUUACAGAAUACAACUUACUUUAAACCCUGGAACAGCAGCUUGCAACACUUAGAGAUUAAUUUGGUGGCACUGCUGUCUAAUUGUUUUGAAUUACCAGAGCACUUUUUUAACACAUGUAUUUGGAUCUAUUCUUAGGGGAAGGGGAAGGCUGGCAACACUUUUGUGGAAGAAAACCUUGUGAUGUGCGGCUUGGAACUUUUUGUGGCUGGCUCUGAAACAACAUCCACCACCCUGCGAUGGGCUAUCCUCUACAUGACAAAGUAUCCUGAGAUCCAGGGUAAGAACACUAAUCAGUCCACUUCAUAUUUGAAAAUGUGCAAAUAGAUGAUUAACACAGAUAUUGGUGGCAAAAUCUUAGGGGUAAACUAAACAAUCACAUUUCGAUAAAAAGCUUAACUUACCUGGCAAAUAUUGUGCCAACACAAGUCCUUCAUCAACUCUAUGCCGCAGACAUCACACUCAAAAAAAGUGGAGAACACAGGGACUGGCCUACACACUUAAAUCAUCUGAAUGGUUUUUUAUCUCACAGCAAAAGUCCAGGCUGAGAUUGACAGAGUGAUUGGAAGGUCCAGACAGCUGUCAAUGGACGAUCGAGCACACCUGCCCUACACAGACGCUGUCCUUCAUGAGAUCCAGAGAAUGAGUAGCAUAGUCCCCCUUAGCGACCCUCAUAUGACCAACACGGAAAUCCAGCUGGAAGGUUACACUAUACCAAAGGUGACUUUUCAGAAAACGUGUUUUUAUGUCAGGAUAUCUUUAUACUGUAUAAUAUUAGCUGAACAGGAUUGUUUCCAGAUGAAAGUCUGCAUCCUGACUUUGGUCGAGGUUUAAAAUUCUCUGCUCCAAUUUUCUUGCUUAGCCAAGCACAACUCUGGCAGCCAAACAGCGAGUUCAUAAGUACUUGUAACUCAUAAAACUCAUGAUCCAAGAAACUGAUGGUUAAAAUCCUACAAUAAAAGAGGAGAUCGAUAGUAGCACAAUCCAAAAGCGUAGCUUGAAAAAUGUAAAACUGCAUUAAAAGUUGGUUUUAGGACAAGAGGCCGAACAAAUCUUGGACGUAUGUGCAUUCUUCAUGAUACAAAACAUUUGGUUCAGAUCACUCUGACAGUUGGUAAAUACUGUUUGUGUUUUGCUAUCAUGUUUUGUUGAAAUGCUAUUGUGUUUUCUGAUUUAUUGUGUUUUUGAAGCUCUGUGGAACAUUUGGACCUCCAGGGCUACAGUUAACAAUAUCACAAUAACAAAAUCAUUCUUACAAACAGGGGGUUACAGUUAUUCCAAAUUUGACCUCAGCACUAUAUGACAAGGAUGAGUGGGAAACCCCGUUCACCUUCAACCCAGGACACUUUCUGACUAAGGACGGCAAGUUUGUGAAGCCAGCUGCUUUCAUCCCUUUCUCUGCAGGUGAGGGUCAACACAGACCUUUGUUUUAUUUGAGUCUUUCUCUGUUACUCAAGAAGCCCAGAGGUUGCUUCAGCAAUCAUGAGGAACCAAUGGUGCACCACAUUUUUAUUUCACAGCGUUCUUACACUAUUUUAAGUCAAAUUUAAGGGCUUUUGAUAUGUUUUUAAGGACCUGCAAAAAUGUAGUUUGAGAGACCUAAGCAUUGAAAAACCAUCUUCGAUUGAAACUGGAACAUCAUUUUUGUACAUGAUGAACAUUAACUAUCACGCACGGACGCAUCUCGUUCACUCCAUCAUGUGUGACUAUUAACUGAAUAUUUAAUUUAAUGCGGUUCCAGCUGUGUUAGUUUGGUCAGGAUGAGUGUCCAAAUGCGCUCAUCUGAUAAGCUAUAGAUCAGAAUAUAUCAAUAUUGAUCUUGCACUGAAUAUUGCUUGUUGUUUAUUUAUUGCACUGAAAUGUGCCUGACACUGUGGAAACCUGCCAGUGAGGCUUUGGUGACAUAUGCGCACUACGCCGCUGGUCAACUAAAAUACCACUAGACUAGCUGCGCUCCGCCUGCACUGAAAGCUGCACGGGGUGCACCACCCUCCGCCACAAUGCCGGCGGGCAUGAAAAUAGAGCCCUAACUAUCAACCAUCUGCAUCUGCCUAAGCCAAACUGCUCCCUGAGUUCCUUCUUUAAGAACUCAACAAACUUCUGGUUGAUAUUAAGGCGCUCCAUUGACACCAAGAGCAUAAUGCAGCUGCUUUGCACAGUAGGCAUUUAAAUUAAUCAUGGAAACGACCAGUUCAAACAAUCCACAAUCAGGUGAGAGACAAGGUUGUUAGCCCCUAUGUCAUAGUGAUGCUGCUCUUAGCUGAACUUUCUAUCAAUCUUGUACACUUGAGUCUGACAUUAACGCUGAUCGGUGUAAAAGCUUUGACUGGCUGGGUGGCAUCACGGGCUCUAUUUUCAUGUACGCUGGUGAGGCGGCGGAGGGUGGCGGACCCCGCGCAGUUGUAUUUUCGUCUGGCGGAGCCGGGCGUACAGCCAGUUUGGUAUUUUCGUGGACUGAGGCGCACGGAGGCGAACCGAGAUCCGGUGGUGGCGUGGCAGGGGAAGGUGUCGACAGAAUCAGCUGGUGCAGUGACAUUUUCGUGCUCGCCAGUGGCGUGUGAUUGUAACUGGCUCGCUGAUUCAAACCUGGUCAGCUUUCAGCGCAGGCGGAGCGCAGCUGGUCUAGUGGUAUUUUGGUAGACCGGCGGCGUAUCGGCAUACAUCACCGCAUCCUCACAGGCAGGUUUCCACAGUGUCAAUUUCAGUGCAAUAAAUAAUCAUCAACAACUAUUAAUCUGAGUCAGCACAUACAUUUAGAUCUAUAGAUAUAUUCUGAUCCAUAUCUGAUCUGAUGAGCGUGUUUGGCACACGUUUGGACACACAACCUGACCGAAUCAACACAGCUGAAACUGCAUUAAAUUAAAUUAAAUAUCUAGUAAAUAAACACACAUGAUGAAGUUAACAAGAUUUGUAAUUCGUCUCCCUCCUUUUCUUUCUUCCUUUUAUUUCUCGCGCAGCUCGACCUGGACAUGUCUGCGUGUCCUCUCCCCGUCCUGCUGCAGCUGCUGCUGCUGCAGCGGCUGAACAGAUGAUUUGUUUCAGUGCUCAGAUGCGUUAUCUACUUUAAGCCGACAUACGGAUAUUAUAAUAUUCAGUUUUGUAAGCCAAAUUUAUUUUAUCUGCCAACAUUUAUGAAAGAAAGAGCCAGGCCACGGAGUGGGAUGCGUCAUUUAUGCACAGAUGGUUCCGAUUUUAAUGCCAUUUUUGGAGUUUAUGUUGUGAUCUGUGCGCUCAACCCACCUUUGUCACGUGAGGUUUGAAUAUAUGCAACUUUAUGUGAGUGUCUUUAUUUGUGGAAAAGGGUGUUUGUCUUACCAGUGGGUCCAACAUUACACACACCAAAUCCAUCUGUGCUCAUAUGAGAGAGUGUGGAGGACGCCCAAUGCAGCGCUUACAGUGACACUUGUUGAGGAGCUGCCUUCUGUCGCCAUCAUGUGGCAUUGCUGUCUUCACACAUCUCUCGAUCUCUUUGACUACUUAACGAAAAUAGUAAUAUGCCUCGCCGGUGGCGGAUUUAAAGGCAAGGAGAGGAGCUGAUGUGAUUAGUGAAAACAGGUCUCGGCUGUGUUAAACCCACUCCACGCCCUCUCUCCUCCCUCGCUACGACUUACGCCGCUGGGAGGAGCUGAGUUAGGGAGGAGGGAUACUUACGCCGGGCUGCGCCGCUCACCAAAAUACCAAAUUGUGCUUGGGAACGUCUUGGCGGCGCGGCGGACCCGACUUACGCCGCGCCUGCGGCACAUUUCUGGCGAGGCACGAAAAUAGAGCCCUAUGUGUUACAAUUUAAAUCACAGGCACUGGCUUCUAAACUUGCUAUUGCUAAGGUAAGACAAGCUGGGCUUAUCAAAAAAACAGACCUUCAAUAACAGGUCUAGACACCAACAGGACAAGAUAUUUUAUGCUCAAAUAAUAUAAUCUUGUGUAGCUGGUCAUAGUACUUCUUGAUCACUGUGUGUCGGUUUUACCAUCGCCCUUUUCUCUUUUUGCUCUCAAUUUUCUAUUACCCUUUCCUAUUAUAAUAAAGAUAGGAUCCUCAAAUGAACUUUCAGGUAAAUUCAAGACAAUUUAUGGCCACAAUUCUCUGAUUCUAAUUCUAAGAACAAUUGUUGGCCGCUUUAAACAUUGUCAGCUGGCCUAUUCCCGCUUACAGUCUACACAAGAUCAGUUUGGAUGGAUCGUCAAUAAAACUGGUCCAACAAGAAUUUUCAUUUCGGUGCAAAGUUUCCAAUGGUGACUUAAAAUAAAAAUAACCUUUCUUGAAAGAACUCCUGAAAACAAACAAUUCUACUAACAUAGCUUCCUCAGAGCCCAAACUUUAUCAAAAAUCCUUUUUUGUUUAAAUUUAUUUUCCUGUCUCAGGUAAGCGAAUGUGUCUUGGUGAAAGCCUGGCCAAGAUGGAGCUUUUCCUCCUCUUCACCUCCUUCAUGCAGCACUUCACCUUCUCCAUGCCUGCUGGAAUAAAGCCUGUGCUGGACUACCACUUUGGCAUCGUAUUAGCGCCACAUCACUAUGAAAUCUGUGCAACCUCACGCUGAGAGAAGCUGUAACUGAUAAAGAGUGCUGACAAAAGCAUUUUUUAUUUGUUUGUUUUCAACGGUGUCCACAUAUAUCUUGAUGAAGCAGUAAAGAAGAGUUAGUAAACCCUUGGCUUUCAAUUUAGAUCACAUUGUGAGAAGACCCUAGUUAAUAAUAUUUUUUAAUUGUUAAGUCAAUAAAGUUGAUGUCUUUGCA